rnacentral:rRNA from 1 species
GUGGGGAAUAUUGGACAAUGGGGGAAACCCUGAUCCAGCGAUGCCGCGUGUGUGAAGAAGGCCUGCGGGUUGUAAAGCACUUUCGGCUGGGAAGAACAGUCCGGCGUUAAUACCGCCGGGCCUUGACGUUACCGGCAGAAGAAGCACCGGCCAACUCUGUGCCAGCAGCCGCGGUAAUACAGAGGGUGCAAGCGUUAAUCGGAAUCACUGGGCGUAAAGCGUGCGUAGGUGGUCAUGCAAGUCGGGUGUGAAAUCCCCGGGCUUAACCUGGGAACUGCAUUCGAUACUACAUGGCUAGAGUAUGGUAGAGGGAAGUGGAAUUUCCGGUGUAGCGGUGAAAUGCGUAGAUAUCGGAAGGAACACCAAUGGCGAAGGCAGCUUCCUGGACCAAUACUGACGCUGAGGCACGAAAGCGUGGGGAGCAAACAGGAUUAGAUACCCGAGUAGUCC